UCAAACGCAAAGAACGGGAGCUAGUAAAGCGAAUUUCUUGUCCAGAGAGCUGCGGGUAGGUGCGACGCAGUCAGGAAAUGCUUGAAUCUCACCCGGGAGCGGCAAGGUUGAGAGCCAUGGUAGACGAUGGACGGUAGACCUUGACGGAUCGUCUCACGUCAUCGGGGCAACGAGGUGGAUUCCCUCUACAAAAGGGGAUCAACGAGAGUGGUACCGCGGCAGCUGACAGGCCUGUCGUCUCUUGU
rnacentral:ncRNA from 1 species